rnacentral:rRNA from 1 species
AUUGAACGCUGGCGACAGGCCUAACACAUGCAAGUCGAGGGGCAGCACAUGAGUAGCAAUAUGAUGGUGGCGACCGGCGCACGGGUGAGUAACACGUAUGCAACCUGCCUUCUACUAUGGGAUAACCCGUUGACAGACGGACUAAUACCGUAUAAUCCAGGGGCUCCGCAUGGAGAUAUUUGUUAAAGAUUUAUUGGUAGAAGAUGGGCAUGCGUAUGAUUAGAUAGUUGGUGAGGUAACGGCUCACCAAGUCAACGAUCAUUAGGGGUUCUGAGAGGAAGGUCCCCCACACUGGUACUGAGACACGGACCAGACUCCUACGGGAGGCAGCAGUGAGGAAUAUUGGUCAAUGGACGAGAGUCUGAACCAGCCAAGUCGCGUGAAGGAAGACGGUUCUAUGAAUUGUAAACUUCUUUUGUGCAGGAAUAAAGUGGGUUACGUGUAACCUUUUGUAUGUACUGUACGAAUAAGGAUCGGCUAACUCCGUGCCAGCAGCCGCGGUAAGAC